AUGUUGGGCCUGUGUCGCCCCUGCCGCUGGGAGAUAUUGGGGGGCCUAUCCAGAUUGUACCACCUUCUUUCGAGGCACCACGAGGCCUAUCUGCUGAUACGACUGACGCGGGAGAUUCGUCUGCAGCCAAUCCCACGCCUCCCCACCCCCUAUCCCCACGCAGCCCAGAUCCCGAGCCGACCGAGGCCACACCCUGCUUGGCCGCUGCCUCUCAUGUCGUGCCAUACGAUUGCUUGGACCGCGCCGAUCCCGAGCCUAUGGCGGGCCCGUCCUGCUUGGACGUGGUGUUGCAUGUUGCACCCACCGGUCCGAUGGAUGACAAGUCAGCCCCAUCGCCCAUGCAGCCCAUGCAAACCACGGACGUACCCACGCCCGACGUGGCUCUCUCCUCUUUCGUUGAUGCCAUCUCUGCCAGGGCGUCCUCUCUGCUUCUGGUGCCGAAGCCUCGGUGACGUAGAAAAGAGCUACCGGCCAACUUCACCCCUCACCGCAGUUUCCGCAUCGCGCGCGCGGACCAAGGGCUCAACUCUAAAAUGA
rnacentral:rRNA from 1 species